rnacentral:rRNA from 1 species
UACAGAGGGUGCAAGCGUUAAUCGGAGUUACUGGGCGUAAAGGGCGCGUAGGUGGUCCUGCAAGUGAGAUGUGAAAUCCCUGGGCUUAACCUAGGAAAGUCAUCUUAGACUGUGGGACUAGAGUGCGGUAGAGGGUAGCGGAAUUUCCGGUGUAGCGGUGAAAUGCGUAGAGAUCGGAAGGAACACCAGUGGCGAAGGCGGCUACCUGGACUGAAACUGACACUGAGGCGCGAGAGCGUGGGGAGCGAACAGG